CUGCCAGUCUCACAUGGAGGUCAGACAUCGAUCCACUCUGAGACAAGACAGCGAUCACAGGUGCCGGUUUUAUCUACGAUUUUACAGAAGUAAGAAGGAAGCAGCUUUACGAGCCACUGGAACCGGAUUAGAGAUGAAGGUUUUGACAACCGCCCUCCUCUUUGUUCUUUUGUCUACAAUUGCAUCCACUAAGCCGAUUGGGCCGGCGUCGACAUCAUGGUACCAACAUUGCUGGCAAAGACUCGACACGGGGACGGCCAAGCCGGCAUUGGUUUUCUUGGCGGCCUCGUGACUCGUCAUCGGAGUCCAAUCAGUCCUCGGACUCUUCCUCCGAAUCCAGCGAAUCCUCAGAGAGUCGGUCUUCAGAGGAGUCUGCCGAGGUCACUACACCAGAUGGGAGCACGUUCACUUCUGAACCAGACACAACGAUUUCAGACGAGCCAACUGUGGAUGCGUCAACGCCCCCGGCAGCAACACGGGCCACGGCCGUUCCCGGGACGUCACCAGGAUGCGUGACUCUGGAUUUUACCGAGGGCUUUACCACAAAUGUUCCCGUCACAGAAAACCGAGGAGACAACUAACCAACCACGUCCCCGCUGCAGACGCAUCGCUGCAUCCCAUCAACAAGUUGUUGCGUUUGCAGGGUGGCGACACAAGCGGGAGAAAAUCCCACCUGCAACUAUCGCUUAUCACCAUAGAUGUUUCCUCAUGAAAGGUCAACAUAAGAGGCAGCGAGGCUAGUGUGAAAAAAGAGGGCUCGCUACUAUAAGUCAAAAUAGCUGCCUGAUUCUGAAAAAGAAUUGCUCAAUUUAAGAAAAGUGUAGCGGUAACUUUACAUUAACAAAUCUGUGGCUCGGGCACGUUUACCGUAGAAAGGAGGUAUGAUACUUUGGGGCAUUUACUUUUGGUGACCUUGUUACAACAAGCACAUUUACAUAUUCAACAACAACAAAAACAGUUUCCCUUCUGCAUGAAGCAGCCUGCAUCUUUGUUGGCCUGGAUCUACAGGAUCUGCAAGAGUGUGUGUUUUAUAUAACAGUCAUGUUUGUUUCUUCUUAAGGAAAAUAAAGGAAUCUAAAUUACGUUAUAAAA